rnacentral:rRNA from 1 species
GACGAACGCUGGCGGCGUGCUUAACACAUGCAAGUCGAACGGAAAGGCCCUGCCUUUGUGGGGUGCUCGAGUGGAGAACGGGUGAGUAACACGUGAGUAACCUGCCCUUGACUUUGGGAUAACUUCAGGACACUGGGGCUAAUACCGGAUAGGAGCUCCUGCCGCAUGGUGGGGGUUGGAAAGUUUCGGCGGUUGGGGAUGGACUCGCGGCUUAUCAGCUUGAUGGUGGGGUAGUGGUUUACCAAGGCCUUGAAAGGUAGCCGACCUGAGAGGGUGACCGGCUAAACUGGGCCUGAGAUGCGGCCCAGCCUCCACUGGGAGGCAGCAGUGGGGAAGGUUGCAUAAGGGGAGGAACGCAGAUGCGGCAACGCCGCGUGGGGGAUGACGGCCUUGGGGUUGUAUCCCGCUUCCGCUUGUGACGAAGCGUUAGUGACGGUACUGGGUAAAGAAGCACCGGCUAACUACGUG